AACGAGACCUUAACCUGCUAUUUAGUCGCUCGGUCUCCGUCCGUGCGCACUUCAUAGAGGGACUCUGCGGCGUCAAGCUGCGGUGAGGUUUAAGGCAAUAACAGGUCUGUGAUGCCCUUAGAUGUCCUGGGCUGCACGCGCGCUACACUGAUGCUUGCCUCGUGUUUACCCUCGGCCGAUAGGCCUGGUAACCCCUAGUCUGCAUCGUGUUUGGGAUUGAUCUUUGCAAUUCUAGAUCAUGAACGAGGAAUGCCUAGUAUGCGCAAGUCAUCAGCUUGUGCAGAUUACGUCCCUGCCCUUUGUACACA
rnacentral:rRNA from 1 species